rnacentral:rRNA from 1 species
UACGGAGGGUGCGAGCAUUAAUCGGAUUUAUUGGGCGUAAAGGGCGCGUAGGCGGGAGUGUAAGUCGUGUGUGAAAUUCCGGGGCUCAACCCCGGAGCUGCAUAGGAAACUACAUUUCUUGAGGGUAGGCGGAGAAAACGGAAUUCCACGUGUAGCGGUGAAAUGCGUAGAUAUGUGGAGGAACACCUGUGGCGAAAGCGGUUUUCUAGCUUAUUCCUGACGCUGAGGCGCGAAAGCAAGGGGAGCAAACAGG